GACGUAGGGGGCCAGCGUUGUUCGGAAUUACUGGGUGUAAAGGGUUCGUAGGCGGUGUGGCAAGUCGGGAGUGAAAUCUCUGGGCUCAACCCAGAGUCUGCUUCCGAAACUGCUGUGCUUGAGUGUGGGAGAGGCGCGUGGAAUUGCAGGUGUAGCGGUGAAAUGCGUAGAUAUCUGCAGGAACACCCGUGGCGAAAGCGGCGCGCUGGACCACUACUGACGCUGAGACACGAAAGCGUGGGUAGCAAACAGG
rnacentral:rRNA from 1 species